AAUGAUGACAUCUGUUUCAACUCUCGACGCUCGAUGGCCGACGAGCCAUGCCGAACCGAAUGAUUCCGAGAGUUGACGAACGACACUCGGCUUUUGCUUAGCUCCUAUUGGCUAAGGGUUGACGACGGGAAAAUCAUACGAAAAAUACCGUUUCUGACAGAUUCAUGACAUGAUAUUACGAUAUGUCAGUUGUACGUGGACCGAUUUUAUUGAUUUUGGUUUUAUUCGAAAGCUUAUAUGCGAUUUACAUCAGAAAAAUAUAUUGUUAAUGUAAUAGAAUAUAUUGCAGGCGUGAUGAGAUAUUAAUGAAAGAAGUUUCAAGUUAGGUUGGAAUGGACCAUCUCUCCUGUAAAAAAUACGUGGUAGCUCCAACGCCAGGUGUAUACGCGGUGACGGGUAAUUUUUCAUGUACUUGGCGCCGAGACGCUACCGCGUCACUAGAUUAUUUGUAUUCAAUUAAUCUUUACGAAAUAUAAGCGAAUUAUCUGUAUUCGAUUACUCUUUACGAAAUCAGAAGUGGGAUACGAACAGUUUUACGAUGAGUGCGCCAGAAGAAAUCCCUAAAGCGAGUGAUGUUGUUUUCGAUGCUGAAAAACUGGUAGACCCAAAUAUUUUGAUUACACAAUUAUUCAGCUUAUUGCAUCGUAAUAAUGAAGCAUCUAUUUCUACUGCCAAAUCAGCAGUAGCAAGCAGAAAUUUGUUCGAAAAUCGCUUAGAAAGGUUACCGAAGCCAUUUGAUCCGAAAACAGGAAGUACAUCUUUAAAUAUUUGGUGUAAAUAUGUAGAUAGAUGGUUGAAAAUUAAUUCUGUUGAGAAGGAGGAGCUUCUUUACAUUUACGACAGACUUUUUGUGGGAAAGGCUGCUUAAUGGUAUAUCGAAAGAACAAAUCAUUUAACAUCUGCGAAUGACGUAGAACAAUGGUCAACUUUGAGGGCUGCUUUAAUUGAUAAAUUUGGUGUUGAUACAAUCACUCUAUUGUAUCUAUGUGUCAAAAAUUAACAAAUUGCACUUCAAACAUUGAUACUUACAAAGCAUUGGAGCCCUUUAUGAACGAAGUAUCACAACAGCCGCAUAAAGACAUUGACCAGAUAAUUUGUCUAUUGGCACUGCAAUUAUGGAGAUCAUCAUUGCAGGCACCUCUGAUAUCUGUUGAAGGGACGUCUGAAAGGAAACUUCCAACAAAAGAUCAGCUAACAAGUAAGCUGAUACUACUAGAUGCUCGACACGUGACACAAACCAAGAUCCAAAAACGAAAAGUUGCUGAGGAUAAUAUUUACGAGGCAAAAAGAUUUCGUGGAUACUGUAAUAACUGUGGAAAAUUGGUACAUCGCCGAGAGGAGUGCAGAUGGAAAAAUAUAAUUUCAUCAAAGUAUAGAUUAGCUUCCAAUGCUAAGGACCAGGUUCAACUAAGUGGGAACAAAGGAGAAAAUCAUAGCAGGAAUAUUGUUAAAUGUUGCAAUUGUAACGAAAAUGGACAUAUUUCAACUGAAUGUCCCAAGAAAAUUGCCAAAGCUACAAAAUCAGUCAGUCUUUGCAACAAAAUUGCUAUGAACCACGUCGCCUUUGAAUCUGGUAAGAUCAUUCCAUUUAUAUUUGAUACUGAUUCAGAUUGUUCAUUGGUAAGAUACCAUUCUUGAUGAAAUGUAAUUAUUUUUAGUGUGUUUGUUUUUUUAAUGUGGUAAGAAUCGCACUUAUGCGCAGAUGGAUGCGCGAUAUUCUUUUGUUUUUUUGUUUUUCCUCUGUUGUUCUGCAUUGUAAAAUAGUGGUCUGCACUAUGUGUGGUCUGUUUUAUUCUGUUUGGCUAAAUUGUCUUCUAUAAACUGCAUUAUUCUUUCUUUGCUUUUUUUUCCUUUUAAUAAACAGUAAAACAAGAAUUCUAUAUGUUUAAUUUAUUUGUAUUCUUUACACACUAAGCGAGGUAAGAUUACAACAAUUCUAUUAAUGAGCUACCUGAGCGUGAUAUUUGCGAAAAAGUAAACGAAACUGUGGCAUUAAAGGGUAUUUCUAAUAAUGUCAUAUUUAGCCAUUUAAAAAUUAAAAGCGAGGUUUUCCUUUUUGGAAUUAAAAUCAUAUUAUGGAAAAGACAUAUUUCAAGACAAUCACACAUUAUCUGUAAUGAUUGACUCGACGGAAUUUGAAUUUACUCGAAAAAAAAUGUCAGCAAAUUUAAAUGUAAAUUUUGAUAAAAUCAUUACAGACUUGACAAACGAAGACGAUUUAAUGAAAUUACGCGUAGUACUAAACAAAUUUAAAGAAUUUUUUAUAUUGGGAACACCUAAGAGACGAGUUAAGGUGGCAUCAUUGGAUAUUAGAUUGAUUGAUCCUAACAAAUAUGUUCAUUCAAAGCCACGACACUUAGCUCCACCAGAAAGAGAAAUAGUUCGAACGAAAAUAGCAGAUCUUCUAAAAAACAACAUUAUUCGGGAAAGUAAUUCACCUUUUGCUAGCUCUGUGGUUUUAGUUGACAAGAAAGAUGGUUCUAAGCGAUUAUGUGUAGAUUAUAGAGCUCUUAAUGCAAACACAAUACCUGACAAGUAUCCGUUACCGUUAAUAAGUGAUUUGAUCAAUAAUUUAAAUGUUGCAUGUCAUUUUGCAAUACUUGAUACGGCUUCAGGAUUUCAUCAAAUUCCAAUAACAAACGAAUCGAUAGAAAAAACGACAUUCGCACUCCAGAUGGACAAUAUAAAUAUUUGACAAUGCCAUUUGGUUUAAAAAACUCCCCACCUGUGUAUCAGCGUGCUAUUGAAAAAGCAUUAGGAGUGUGACGUGGGACGAGAUUCCCGCGUCACAGUUUUUAAUUUUAUUUUUUUAUUGUAAUUAUUGAAUGUUAAUGGGUUAAUUAACUUAAACAAUAUUAUAUAUAUGAUAUUUUACUUGCCUAUCGACAAGGUCAGGUCUUUGUCGCAACAGUCCCGUACAGGCUCUGACUCGUAUGUGAAUCUUUCGUGAUAGUAGGAUAGCCAAUUAAGAUUGAAGAGGUACAUUAAAUUUUGGAAACGUUUUUACUAUUGAAAUAACACUGCUGAAUUUAAUUUAUUAUGAUUUAGAUUAUAACAAAUAUGUUGAGGUACAAGAUUCUUAUUUCUGCGUUAAAUUAUGCUCUUUCUUUCAUUCCUUUGUGGUUGUAAAUAUAUAUAUUACAUAUUGUCGGGAAACAUACUAUUCAUCGGGGAUAAUUAAUUAGGGUUCCCCCGGAAAUGAUGAAACAUUUAUCAGUUAUCCCCGAUGAUCACAACUUUGGAAAAUAUUGCGCUUGAAAAGAAACAACUCACCACUAAGUUUUUCGUACGGAUUUAUCGGUGUAUUGAAUCGCACGGAUGUUGGUCGUCGAAUAUCCUGAACGAGGUAGAAGCACACACACACACACACGGGAAAAAUUAUGAUUUAUGUAAUAAACGGAUAAUUAAUACUUGCAAAAAACAAUUGAUUUAAAAUUAAAAUAUUUUAAAUAAAAUUUAGUAAUUAAGAAAAAUUCAAGAAUGAAAUUAGGUUAUUUAACGAGGAAUUGAGUCUCUGCCUACCACUCACAUUUCACAAUGAAUUUAACCGGUAAAACAACUCUGCUCUAAAUAAUUCGCUCGGACUUGCUCGCGCUCGAUGCGACUGUACAAUGAGAAGUGAUUUUGACUUCGCUGUUUCGUGCGCAACUCGGUUCGAAGUUUACAAAAAUGCUUGCGCUGCAUUCUCGGAGGUGCCGAACCAGAGUGCAGCCCUAGCGAUAAUGAAUUUUAAUUGGCUAGACUUCUAGGCUGACUAAGGUGUCCGUGUGCUCCGCCCAAAUCCUAAGAUUUCUAUGCUGUUUGUACAAUCCAAUUCAGGAGUUUUAAUUUCACGGGUACCAUGCGGUCGGCCAACGGGAGCGAAAGAGAAAGAAAAAGAAAAAGCACUUAAUUUAAAAGAAUAUGCAUUUAUCCUUGUAGAUGCUUUCACUAAAUUUACUUUGCUAUACAGAACCUCCACUCUUACAGCUGAAGCAGCUGUUGCGUUUCUUAAAAUCACAAUAUCCAUUUUUGGUACACCUAACCGCAUUAUUACAGAUCAGGAAACUUCUUUUUCUGGGGGAAAAUUUCGCGAUUAUUGUGAAGAGAAUCAUAUUGAAUUACAUUUUAUAGCAACAGGUAAUAGUAGCGCGAAUGGCCAAGUUGAAAGGGUGAUGAGCUUGUUAAAAAAUUUAUUGUCAGUAGCUGAAACUAGCUGUGAUGAACGUUGGCAAGAUGGACUUGCUGAUGUUCAAUUGAUCAUAAACAGUACGCAACAUAGAGUUACAAAAUAUUCUCCAUCCGAAUUAUUGUUUGGACGACAGAUAAAUUUACCUACAAUAAACAAAAUCACUAUACAUGACACAGAAAAAUUAAAUUUAGAUACUAUACGCGAUAAGGCCGACAGUAACAUUAAACAGAAUGCGAUAUACAAAAAAAAAUAGAUUCGAUAACAAAAGCAGACGGCUUACGAAAUCAUUUACUGCAAACGAUUUAUGCUUACUGAAAAUUAAUGAAAGACAUUCUACAAAGUUGAGACAGGAGUUUAAAGGCCAUAUAAAGUGGUGACAGAUUUAGGGCACAAGUCAUAUGAGUUGCCAAGUCCGACAACUAAACAUAAAAUAAGACAAACAGAAAAAAAUAUGAAGCACAUAUCACAAAGUGAUAUUUGUAGUGACAAAGAAAAUGAUGCUUCUUCAAAUGAGGGUGAUAUCAUUGAAGUAGAUGAUGAAUUAUAAGAUGAUUUAAAAAUCAUAAGGUGUGUAUUAAUUUGUAAAAAGGUAAUUAGAAAGGGCUGGAGUAUCCAAAAAGGAGCUAAACCCUAAAAAAAAAGUGUGUACUAACCCGCAAAAUUUAAUCUGAAGGGGCUGGGGCAUCCAAUGAAGGAGCCAAACCCUAAACUGAUAAAGAUGGUAUAAAUAGAAUAGUGAACUGACGAAAAGAUUUGUGAAUGGAGGUCUCGAUAGACACAACAGCAUCCUGCACAUUGGUAUCCUAGGUCCACUGUGCAUUGUGGUGUGUUGAUUCGAGAUCGAAGGGCAUGGGAUGCUGUGCAUUCUGAUAUCGUAUAUGCUAGCACAUCAGUAGUCAUUAUACUACAUGCUUGUUCUGAGCAUCAUGGGAUGUUGGUUGCUUGUCCUGUCUUGAGGGCGAUCUAGUCUCAAAUCUUAGAUAGUUAUUCUAAAGUGCAAUAGAUGUUAAUGUUGGAAAAAGAUUAUUGUAUUAUAAAAAAAAGUGUAUUAGACCUGCGCAAACACUGAAAGACCUGACUAUGUUAUAGUCAGGAUGGCAGAGAUAGCCGUAUUGGCAAACACACACACACACACACACAAAAUAAAAAUAAAAUAAAAAAUUCAUUAAGGACGACAACGAUAGCUAUAUUUGUCAAAUGAAAAGAAAUAAAUAAAUUUAUUAAAUUAUUUAUGUUUCUUCAUAUCUUACAGGCCAUGAAUCAACUAAAUAAACAAAUUACUGUAACGCCGAGGACGGCUUUCAGUCAGGAUUGGCCGUGUCGGCAAUCGAUAUUGGAUUGAAACGUCUCGAUACUUUCGAUAGAUCGUUGUAAGGAGUCGAGUUAGUUACAUCGAGAAACAAGGGAAGAAGCGAAGUGAACAGAGGCGAGAAGAAAACAAGAGAUAUAAGAAAACGUAAAAUCGAGAAGGUUUCGAUCGAUUCCAAAGGCUGGAACAAUAGAUAUUCGCGUUUAUAUGAAACCGACGCCCAACGGUAUUCCAGCGACCUGAAACCAUUGGAAAAAGUUUGAUAACGUACUGAACACGUAGAAUUGCACUAAAUCGCAUCGUUUAACACAGUUUCAAUCGAUUCCAUAGGCUGGAACACUCGAUAUUCGCGAGUGAGAUUAUCAUUUUUUUAACUUAGCAUACCACUUCCGCAUAAAAGCAGCACAUAUUCUCUUUGCUGUUUCCUCGGUGUGAUGAAUGGUGUGUUACAAUGUACUUUGUUUCUUUCCAUAUUCAAGGUAAUAUAAAAUUGACUAGAAUUAAUGUAUCCUAACCAAUCUUUUUCCUAAUGAUGCUUGUAUAAUUCUCUUUGGUAAAUGUUUACAUUAGAUAAGGCAUCUCCGAUGACCUUGACCUUGACAUAUGUUAUCAAGGGUACCCUCCUGAGUAACAUCCAAGAAGUUUUAGUCGUCGCUCGCUUUUUAUUAAAAAGUUAUUAAUAAAAAUGUAUUACAAGUAUUAUACUAGAAUCUGCGCAUACAUACGCUCCGAUGAACUUGACCUUGACAUAUGUUGUUAAGGCAUCAUUUUCAUCAACUUUUUCCUGUAUAGGACAUUUACUAAAUGUCCUUAUUCUACAAUUACACUUUAAUGAAUUACUCAAAUAAGUUACUAAGGUUUUCACGAUUUUCUGUUUUGUAUCACAUUAUCCACAAAAUGGAAUUUAAGAAACAUCAAUUAUAAAUAAUAGUAGAUAAAAGAGUUUUGCAAGUCGUUUUCUUUAAAUAAGUUUUAUAAUUUGAUCAGUUAAAAAUUCUCGCCACGUGUUUCAUUAUGUGUGACAUAUUCAGAAUAUUCAGUUGGUUUCUUUGAUUCAUUUAAUUUGUAUACAGUUGAAUAUACGCGUGUAAUUAUAUAACUAAAUAAAUAAUAUCACUACAAAUGUAGCGUGGUCUGUGGCGGACGGUUUCCAACUGAAUGGGUGAUUGCGAACAUGUUAGGAGAGAAUGGUAGUGACAGAAAUGAAUAGAACUGAUGCAAUUAAAUUCCAUUCGGUAUGGUGUUCUACUUGAAACUCGACAAAGGCCAUGAUAUUAUUUCGAUGUAUUAUGUCUGAUCAUCUGAUAGCAUAGUUGUAACGAUGUUUUCUGUAGUGAUGAGUGACGAGGCAAGUGAAAUGUGUUUUGACCAAGGGGAAAGCUGUGACAUUCUAAUAUUUUAAUGUUCGAAUAUUUUAUAAGUUAUGUUUUAUAAAUAAACGAUUUUCCAAAAGA